rnacentral:tmRNA from 1 species
GGGGGUGUAUUAGACUCGACAGGAGAGGCUGAGUCCGUACUGCAAGCCGUGGAGCAUGACCACGUUAAAACAGGCAAGGCAAUUAACUGCCAACAACAACACUUACGCUCUGCCCGCAGCCGCCUAAGGCUUGCAACAGAGCGCUAGCCCUGCGGGGCUAGCCGUCCGCCCCAGUCGUCGCAGUCCGGCUGGAUUGGUGGGCGUCACUAAAGACCAGCGUGCGGCUCACUGACGCCGAUAUUGUGAGCCAAAGACAUUAUCGGCUAGUCGUGGACAUACCUCGCCAGUCAGGGCUAUCCACGGCGAAAACAAAGGAUUGGCUACGCUUGUAGACGUGCGUCCUCGAAUCUUUUGGACACCGGUGCAAUUCCGGUCACCUCCACCU